ACUCCUACGGGAGGCAGCAGUGGGGAAUAUUGCACAAUGGGCGCAAGCCUGAUGCAGCAACGCCGCGUGAGCGAUGAAGGCCUUCGGGUCGUAAAGCUCUGUCCUCAAGGAAGAAUAAAUGACGGUACUUGAGGAGGAAGCCCCGGCUAACUACGUGCCAGCAGCCGCGGUAAUACGUAGGGGCAAGCGUUAUCCGGAAUCACUGGGCGUAAAGGGUGCGUAGGCGGUUUUUCAAGUCAGAAGUGAAAGGCUAUGGCUCAACCAUAGUAAGCUUUUGAAACUGUUAAACUUGAGUGCAGGAGAGGUAAGUGGAAUUCCUAGUGUAGAGGUGAAAUUCGUAGAUAUUAGGAGGAACACCAGUGGCGAAGGCGACUUACUGGACUGUAACUGACGCUGAUGCACGAAAGCGUGGGUAGCGAACAGGAUUAGAUACCCUGGUAGCACAGAG
rnacentral:rRNA from 1 species